ACUUACUUGUCCAAUUUGAUAGAUUAUAUUUUAAUUAGAUCAUUAAUUAAUUCAAGCUGACCCAUGUCAUUAAGGUAAAUCAGUGUAACUGAUUUAGGUGUCUCUAGAUCAGACUUGUCUCUAGUCUAAUUCAAUGAUUUGGUGAAGUCAGUGGAAGGACUUUUGAUUACUAGUCGAUCUCUUCUCUCAUUCUCAAUUCAUUAAAUCAGUUCGACUGAUUUAGGUACCCUUAGACCAGUUUGUCUCUAAUCUUCUUCAUGAUUUGAUGAAGUCAGUGGGAGGAUUUAAACUCAUCAGUCCAAUGGACCAGCU
rnacentral:lncRNA from 1 species